rnacentral:lncRNA from 1 species
GGCAAAGUCCAUAGAUUGAACUCCAGGCAAUGAAAUUCCCUUUCCCUUUCUCUGUCCCUGAACUUGGUUGACAUUUAAUUACAGAAAUUGUCUGGUGACCUUUUCAGGUCAACGCAAAUUUGGCGCUUAUUCUUUCUAAAUCCUAAAGUGUAGAGAAAAUCCUAUUUUCUUAGAAGGGCAAUAUCAGCCUCUGUUUCCCACAACAGACCUGUUUUUUGUUGGGUGAAAAUUGAUAGGGGAGAGAAGCCCUCUCAGCCAGCUCCUCACCCCUGCAGCACCAAUACAUGGACAUUCCAGCCAGCCCUAUAGGACUGCGGUGCCUUAACUGUAAGUAAGGUAGUUUUUCUUCCCUAAGCGGCAUAGAGGGAGGUUUUGUCCAGGGUGGUGGUGAGCCAGAGUGGGGGAGUGAGGAGAGAGAUGAGUGAGAAAAACUGGGAGAGGAAAUGUUUGGAGGAAGCACAGAGAUAUCUAAGGGAGAAUUUUAUUACAUUUUGUUUCUAAAUUCCCUUCUCUUUCUCUUUGUAACAUUUUCAGUAGAAUUUGUGGUUGUAUCUGUUUGGAAGUGUAGUGCCCUUGAUCUCAUGGUGGUAUGCGUUUAGGGGUGAAGGAGGGGUGGGCAAGUCAAAACCAUUCAUGAGAGACAUACCACAUUUGAUGACACCAUUUUGGAUAGAUGUCACUUUGACCUGGCACCCUACUCAGUUCUUUAUGAGUGGUAUCAAUUAAUCCUCACAACAAUUUGACAAGACAGGUCCUGGUGUGUUUUCUGUUAGAUCUGUAUCAAUAGCCUCCUUAAAUAAGAGGCUAUAGCAGCUUUCAGGAAGGGAUGGAGUUUUACUUAUCUUUUUUUUUUUUUUAAAAAAAAGAGUUUUUAUGAGUGCAUUAUGGUUACACAUGAUAAUGGGGUUCAUCGUGACAUAAUCAUACAUGCAUGGGAUGUAAAUUUGCUCCAUUUCAGUCUCCAGCACUUCCUCUUUCCUCCCCUCCUGCCUCCUCCCAUUUUCCUUCCUUCACCCCACUGAUCUUCCUUUCACUUAUUAAUUUUUUUUCAACUAGUGAUUUAUAGACACACAUAAAGGUGAAAUUUUCUGUGGUAUAUUUAUGUAUGUACACAGCACAAUUCAGUCAGUUUCAUUCCCAGUGCCUCCCUCGUCCCAUACCUCCUCCCUCUCUCUCAAUACCCUUCCUAGACAAUAUUUGACCCUUGACUUUUUUUUUCUUUAAUUUUGUACCAGGGGUGCUUCACCACUGGGCCACAUCCUCAACCCUUUUAAUUUUUAUUUUGAGAUAGGGUUUUUCUAAGUUGUUAGGGCCUUGCUAACUUGCUAAGGCUGGCUUUCAACUUGCAAUUCUCCUGCCUCAGUCUAGUGAGCCCCUGGGAUUAUAGGUAUGCACUACCACCCUGUUGACCCUUGACUUUAUAAAUAUGGCUUAUUUCUCUCAGUAUUAUGUUCUCCAGUUUCAUCUAUUUACUAGCAAAUGACAUAAUUUCAGUCUUUAUGGCUAAGUAAAAUUCCACUGUGUAUGUACACCACAUUUUCCUUAUCUAUUCAUCUGUUGAUGGGCACCUGGGCUGGUUUCAUAACUUGGCUAUUGUGAAUUAUGCUGCUAUAAACAUUGAUGUGCCUAGAUCCUUGGAAUAUGCUGAUUUUAGUUCCUUUGGAUAAAUACCAAGGAGUGGGAGAGCUGAAUCAUAUGAUGGUUCUAUUCCUAGUCUUUUGAGGAAUAUCCAUAUUGUUUUUCAAAGUGGUUGUACUAAUUUGCAGUCCCAUCAACAAUGGAUGAGUGUACUUUCCCCCCCACCAUGUCCUCACCAGCAAUUAGUUGUUUGUAUUCUUGAUGAUUGUCAUUCUAACUGGAGUGAGAUGAAAUUUCAAUGUAGUUUUGAUUUACAUUUCUCUGAUUGUCAGGGAUGUUCAGCAUUUUUUCAUAUUUUUGUCAGCCAUUUGUAUUUCUUCAUUUGAGAAAUAGCUGCUUAGUGUUUUUUACCCAUUUAUUGAUUGGAUUAUUUGGUUUUUUGAUGUUUUUUGAGUUCUUUAUUUAUUCUGGAUAUCAAUCCAGAUUUUUUUUUGUAUGUUGAUCAAUCUAGCAAAGAUCUUCUCCCAGUCUGUAGGCUCUCUCUUCAUGCUUCUGUUUAUUUUGCUGGGAAGAAGCUUUUUAAUUGAUGCUAUCUCACCACUUAUUGAUUCUUGUUUUAUUUCUUGAGCUUUAGGGUUGUUGUUAAAAGUUGGUGCCUGCACCAAUAUGUUGUGGUGUUAACCACAUGUUCUCUUCUGCAGUUGCAUAAUUUCUGGUUUAAUUUCUAGGUCUUUGAUCCAUUUUGAGUUGACUUUUGUGCAGGGUGAGAGAUAGGGACCUAGUUUCCUUUUUCUACAUAUGAAUAUCCAUUUUUCCCUGCUCCAUUCAUUAAAAGGGUUAUCUUUUCUCUGACAUGUAUUUUGGCACAUUUGUCUAGUAUCAGAUGACUGUAUCUUUGUGGGUUUGUCUCUGUAUCUUAUCUUCUAUUCCACUGAUCUUCAUGUCUGUUUUGAAGCUAAUACCAUGCUGUUUUUGUUACUAUAGUUCUGUAGUGUAAUUUGAGAUCAGGUAUGGUGAUGUCUUCAGCAUUGCUCUUCUUUAUCAGGACUGCUUUGGCUAUUCUAGAUCUUAAGACUGUUUUCCCAGUUCUGUGAAGAGUGUCUGAUAUUUUUAUGGGGAUUACAUUGAAUUUAUAGGAUGCUUUUCGUAGUAUGACAAUUUUGACAAUGUUAAUUCUGCCUAUCCAAAAACAUGAGGUGUCUUUCCAUAUUUUAAUGUCUUCUUCAAAUUCUUUCUUCAGUGUGCUAUAGUUUUCAUUGUGGAGAUCCUUCACCUCCUUGGUUAGACUUAUUCCCAAGUAUUUUAUUUUAUUUUUGGUUAUUGUCAAUGUGAUAGUUUUCCUGAUUUCCUUCUCCUAUAUUUGAGUACAGGAAUGCUAUUCAUUUUUGUAUGUUGGUCUUGUAUCCUGUUAUUUUCCUGAAUUUAUUUAUCAGCUGUAGAAGUCUUCUGGUGAAGGUUUCUGAGUCUUCUAGAUAUAGGAUCAUGUCAUCAACAGAUAGUUUGAAUUCUUAUUUACCUAUUUGUAUUCUUUAAUUUCCUUCUCUUAUCUGAUUGCUCUGUCUAGAGUUUCAGGAACUAUAUUGAAUAGGAAUGGUGAAAGUGGACAUCCUUAUGUUAUUCUUGAUUUUAGAGGAAAUGCUUUCAGUUUUAUUUUCCUGGUAUGGCACUGGUCUUGGAUUUGCCAGACAUAGCACUUACAAUGUUGAGGUGAAUACCUUCCAUCCCUAGUUUCUUUGGUGUUUUUAACAUGAAUAGAUGCUUAAUUUUGUCAGAGGCUUUUUCUGCAUGUAUGGAAAUCAUCAUGUGAUUUUUAUCUUUAAUUCUAUUUAUGUGGUGAACUCCAUGUAUUGAUUCACCUAUGUUGAACCAAUCUUGCAUCCCUGGGAUGAAACCACUUGAUCAUGUUGUACUAUCUUCUUAAUGUGUUUUUGAAUGGGUUUGAUAAUAUCUUAUGGAGGAUUUUUGUGUCUAUGUCCAACAGGAAUACUGUCCUGUAGUUUUCUUUCCCUGAUGUGUCAUUGGUUUUGUAUCAGGAUGAUAUUGACUUUGUAGGAUGAAUUUGACAGUGUUCCUCCUUUUCUAUUUCAUGGAAUAAUUUGAGAAGGAUUGGGGUAGUUCUUUUAAGACUGAGAAUCCAUUUGGUUCUGGGCCUUUCCUUGUUGGAAGGAUUUUAAUUGCUUUAAUUUCAUUGCUUGAUAUUGGUCUAAAUUGUCAUAGGUAGAAAAAGGAAACUAGGUCCCUAUCUUUCACCCUGCACAAAAGUCAACUCAAAGUGGAUCAAAGACCUAAAUUGUCUAUAUCCUUAUGGUUCAAUUUAGGUAGGUCAUAGGUGUCUGAAAGUUUUCCAAUUUAUUGAAGUAAAAAAUUUCAAAAUAGUUUCUAAUAAUUCUCUGAAUUUUGACAGGGUCUUUGUUCAUAUCUCCUUUUCCAUUUUUAAUUUUGUUGAUUUCGGUCUUCUCUCUCUUUUUUGGGGGGCGUUAGUUUGGGUAAGGGUUUAUCAAUCUUGUUUACCUUUUCAAACAACUCACUAUUUGCUGCAUUGUUUGUAUUUUUUUAUUCUCAAUUUUAUUAAUUUUGGGUCUAAUCUAAAUUAUUUCCUGUAUUCUAUGAUUUUGGAAUUAGUUUGCCUUCUUUUUCUAUUUUUUCUUUUUUUAAACUACCUUAUUACUUACUGUGAUAUGUUGUAUCACUAUUCUUAUUUGUUUCUAAAUUUUUAAAGAAUUUCUCUUCUGAGUUUUUUUGCUAUCCAAUCCUCAUUUAAAAAUGUAUCAUUUAAUCUCCAGGUGUGGAAAUAGUUUUUGUUUUUUAUCUUGUCAUUGAUCUCAAUUUCAUUUCAUUAUGAUCUUAUAGACUGUAAGAAUUUAUCUUUGUUAUCAUUGUUUUGUGUCCUGAAACAUAAAGUAUUCCUGUUAGUAUUUCAUUGAAAAGUUUCAAUUGAUUCCUAUAUGCAACUGAAAGGAAAAUGAAUUCAGUUGUUGAUGGAUUCAAUGUUCUAUAAAUGUCUGUUAACUCCAUUAAUGUAGGUGCACCAAAGUUUGGGGUAUAACUAUUGAUAAUCAUUGUAUCUUAUUUUUGGAUGAUUCCUGUAACCAGUAUGAAUGAACCUUCUUUUACUCUUUUGAUUAAUCUUGACUUUAAAACUACUUUGUCAGACGUGAGACUAACUACUUCUGCUGACUUUUGUUCUAAAUUUGUGUGGUGCAUCUUUUUCUAUCCUUUCACCUUCAGUCUGUGGAUGUCUUUGCCUGUAAGGUGUGUCUUUUGCGAAUAACAUAUGGUUGUCUUAUUCUUUAAUCCAUUCUGACAAUCUGUCUUUUGACUGGAGAGUUCACACCACUUACAUUCAGUGUUAUUAUAGAGAGAUGAUUUUUAUUUCCUGCCAUUUUCACUUAUUUAUAAUCCUUAAUUCAGACUUGAUUCUCCUUUGUUUAACUGUUUUAAGUGAGAUUCAUCCAUAUGCUGACUCUGAUAUUUAUUUUUCAGUUCUUCUGCAUGAAAUAUUUCAUUGAGCAUAUUUUGUAGUGCUGACUUGGUGAUUAUGAAUUCUUCUAGUUUUUGCUUUUCAUGGAAAAUUUUAUUUAAACUUCAAUUCUGAAGGAUAGUUUUUCUGGAUAUACUAAUCUUCAUUGACACCCAUUAUUUUUCAAGGCUUGAUUAUAUUAUUCUAAGCCUUCAUGGCUUUUAGGUGUGGAAUAAGAAAUCAGUAGAAAUUUGAGUUGGCUUAAAUUAAUGACUGAUUGUUUUUCUCUUCUGACUUUUAAAUUCUAUCCUUGUUUUGCAUAUUAGGUAUGUCUUAUAGAGGAUCUUUUUUUUAUCUUGCCUGGGGUUCUAAAUGCCUCUUGUAUUUGGAUUUCUAUCUCAUUCCUAGGGUUUGGAAAAUUUUCUGUUAUUAUUUCAUUGAAAAGUUUCAAUUGAUUCCUAUAUUUGGUCUCUUAGUGUUAUCUUGGAUUUCUCAGAUAUUCUGGUCAUGGUUUCUAAACAUCUUUUUUUUACCAUUGAUUUUAUUUUCAAGAUCAUAUACUUUUGUAUAUAAUCUUCAAGACCUGAUAAUCUGUCUUCUAUAUCAUCUAAUCUAUUGGUGAUACUUUUAACCGAAUUUUUAAUCUGAUUUAUUUAGUCUUUUAUUUUUCAGGAUUUCUGUUUGGUUCUUUUUUAGAAUCUCUCUUUAUUGAAACAUUCUUUCACAUUCUAUAUUUUCUCUCUUAUUUCAUUCCUUACAUCUUCUUUUAAUUCAUCAAGCAUUUUUAUGAACUUUCUAAAUUCUUUAUCCAACAUUUCCUCCAAUGGGAUCAGUUGUUGAAGUGUUGCGCUGUGUGCUGUUUGGGGUGGUUUUUUCCCUUGCGUUUUCAUAUUGUUUCUACCCUCUCCUGGGAUGACUAUUUCUUCUAAGGAAGUAUAUCUUCUAUUCCUUUGUGCAAGGGACUGUUUAGUGAGCAUCUUUAUCUUAACCACAGGCUGGGUGAGUAUCCAAAUAUUGCUAUUCCCACUCAAUGUGUAUCCCCUGCUACUUCCAGGAUUGGCACCACUUUGAGAGAAGAUUCCAAAUCCUAUUAAAUUCUAUCAGUUGAGAGUGAAGCCAUCUAUAAUAAAUCCUGAAAAUAUUCUCCAAGUUCCUCUGACUAUAAAAUAAUAGUAAUGUUCUUGAACAAGUUGAGAAAUUAUUUAUUAAAGAGAGUAAGGUCACUAUUAUACUCUAAUAGGAUUGAAAAUGGAAGAGAAAAUGUGGAAGAGGGAAAAAUAAGAAAGAAAUGAUAGGGAAAAAAUAAUACAAACUAGGAUAAAAAUAACAGAAAAAAACGAGGGAGGGAUUUGAGAUAAGAGCAGGAAAUGUAGACUAAGAGGGACAGGUGUAAACCUGAACAGGAAAACAAAGAUAUAAAGAAUGAUUCAAAUUAAUUCUUUAAAACUUUAGAAAAAAUGGGGCUGGGAUUGUGGCUUAGCAUGUGCAGGGCCCUGGGUUCGAUCCUCAGUACCACAUAAAAAUAAAUUAAUGGAAUAAAGGUAUUGUAUCCAAUUACAACUAAAAAAAUAAAUAUUAAAAAAAACUUUAGAAAAAAUGUAGUCAAAUGGUUCAGGGAUAUAAUAUUGGAUAAUAAGGGAACGUCUGUCAAUUCAAUAAGAAAGGCAAUACUCGUAAGAUAAAAAUUGACAGUAGAGCUAUUUAUGAUAGUCCAUGCUGAGGUAGGAAGAUUUCUUAUUGAGUCUUCCUGAUUUGGAUUUCAUUAGGAUUUAGAAUCUAUAGAAGAUGCCCCCCACUCUGACUAUUCCUCCAAGUUUCCCUGAGUGUAGAGGUAGGGAUCAUACCAGCUCACUCCUGAUGAAAUUCUCAGAGGUCCCCUCUGGUCUUUGGUGUAUCCAGGUACCUACUAGCUUUUUAUUGAGUCAGAGAAGAAGGUUCUUAAUUGUCUGUGACUUAGCAGCCAGGUGGCACAUAGAAGGUACUCUCUUUGUUAAGUUGGACUGAACUGAGCAGGAGAUAUGAUUGAAAAUAGAGAUUAAAGUUAGAUUGUGAAGUCUUGAUUGACAAAUCAAGUUUGAAUUCCAUCUUAAUUAUUGGGAUGGCUGGGAUAAGAUAGGGAGGGCUAGAUGUGUGGAAGGUUUUGGGGCAAAGAAGUGCAUUCUGCUUGUCAUAGUUGGUAAGCCUCAUGCAAGUAAGUUACAUUGCACAGCUCAGUUUGAAUGGAACUCAGCUCUGUCUUGCAGGAAUAUACUAUUGACAUGUCUUUGUCAACUGAUUAUGAUAUUAAAGAUCAGCCAAGAGCAACAAUCCAGAAGCUAAAGUUUUUCUCUGAGCUCUCCUUUGGUUUAUAAAAGAAAAUGGAUGCAACAAAUCUUAUUAAAACUCUGAGGAAAAUUAUUAGCAUUGAAGUUUCAACCAAAAAUAUAUGAUCAGCCACCAACUCAAUAAUAAAGAUUAUUAUUCUAGCCAGGCAUGGUAGCUCACACUUGUAAUCUAAGUGGCUCAAGAGGCUGAGGCAGGAGGAGCACAAGUUCAAAGCCAGCCUCAGCAACUUAGUGAGGCCCAAAAUGACUUAGUGAGACCCUGUUGCUAAAUAAAACAUAAAAAGGGCUCAGUGGCUAAGUGCUCCUAGGUUCAAUCUCUGGUUAAAACCAAAACAAGAGAGAGAGAAAGAGAAAGAGAGAGAGGGAGGGAGGGAGGGAGGGAGAGAGAGAGAGAGAGAGAGAGAGAGAGAGAGAAAGAUUUUAUUAUUCUCAAUAUUUGUAAAAGGGAAUGAUCUAGCAUAGUUUUGUAUGUUCUCUCUAUUGCAACAUUUUCUUCAAGUCUCCAUUUGUUUAUUUUGUCCAAGAUGACAAGAAUAGAAGAAUCAGAAUUUGAGAAAUUAUCCAUCAAGGACAAACAUGAUAACUGUUAUCACAAAGUCCCCCAACUUCAGAAUUUUUCAGAUACAAUAAAAGCUCAUAAAUUAAUCUCAUUUUUUUCUAAGAGCUUAACAGAAUCCAUAUAUUUUCCUAUGAUAAGAUCAUGCAAGCUAAGAAAAUAAGCUAAUUUGCCUUUGGCAAGUAUUGUAUCAACUUAAUGUGCUAACCGUGUUCGUCUCCUUGCUGAUUGGAAGCUCUGAUUAACAGUUACAAAUGUCUUUGAAUGAGAAAAUGAGAAAACAAUUGAAUCAUUAUUUGUAAGCAGCUUUGUUGGUGGUAAAAAUGUUUUUCAAACAAAUAUUUUUCAAGGUGCAUACAUAACAAAAAAUUGCCUUUGGAAAAUAUUUUUGGGAAGAAAUUUCAUACAUUCCUGUUUAGGGACUCCUGUGCUAGGGACAUGGAGUUCUGAGUGUUAGGAUAAUCUCAAGGCCAGCAGUUCAAGAUCUCUUCUUACUCAUUACCCCAACACUUACUUAAUCCUUCUGCAUGCUGUAGAUCCUUUGUUAAGCUGGUUGAAAGUGUCUAUUCCCUAGUUUCUGUUGGUGGUGGUUUCUUUCUUAGCAUGAGGAAUGAACGUUCUCCAGAUUUUAUCCCUAGGUUUCUUCCUCUUCCAGUUCCCCAUUGAAUCAAAGCAAAGUGAAACCCUUUUAUUUCUGGCACAACUGGUCAGGUGGUUAAGGACCCCUCCUUACCGAGAACUGUGAUUGUGUCAUUGAGGUUAAAGAGUCAUCGCCAGGGCUUCAUUUGAACACCUCAGUGGCUUGUCCUCAUCUCAUUUCUCAUGUGAUUCUUGUGAUCUUGCUGCUGAGGCUUCCUGCUCAGAACUCAGAGCCACGGAGGAAGCCUCAGAAGAGAAAGCAAAGCCUGCUAGCACCUUGGCCUGCACAGAGAGAGCAGCCCCAACCUACUGGUAAAUAUUCUUUCAACCAGUACUUUUUUCCCAGUGUCCUGAAAGACAAUAUUGAAAGGGAAAAACCUAUGCUUAUUAAGGGAAACAAAUGGCUGUUAUUUGAAUUAAAAGAAAGAACACAAGUGGCUUGCAUUUCAACAAGCGAGAUCUCAUGCAAACUGCACCUUAUUCUAGAAAAUGGAAUGUAGUAGACACAUGUCUGGUCCCCAAGUGAAAGAGGGACAUGUGCAAAACCCUAGCCUUUUGGACAAUGAAAUAGAAGAAGUGUAAACAAAUGAGAGUUUGUUUUUCACGUUAUUUGCUUCUGUUUUGGUUGAAGCAAGCUCAAAGCCUGUAGCACGAGAUGAAAAGCUGGAAAAAGCUGAACUAAGUGAAAUAGUAUGAAGAUGUAGAGUUAGAGGUAGUAUCCUUUUUCAAAACAGAGCAUGCCCAGCAAUGUCACCUCCAGAAACCAUUAUGUGGAAUUAAAAAAAAAAAAACAAAAAAACAGAGCAAAGAAAUGUAUUAAGAAGAGGCUUUUUUUUUUUUUUUGGUCAGCCCCUCUCCUUUGGCUCUGCCAAUGUGUAGGGAAACAGACCUCCUCUCCAGGCAGCAUGUUGUUAUCGUACCCUAGCCCCUCUGGAGCUGGCGCACUUCAGCCACAUCGCGGUGACAUCAGGGAGAUUUGGCCAGGGUGGAGCUUUAUGUCUUCCCUUGUUACUUGGCUCUUUUACUUGAAAGAGGAAGUUGUUUUUCAAAAUAGUCUUUGUAUGCCAUUUAGGAGAGCUGAGAUCAUCACCUUCACUUGCUCAUUGGCAAGUUAAUGGAGAAAAUUCUUUUGAGAGGCAUGGAAGAGCCACCCCGCUCAGCUGAUCAAGGGGAUCAGUGCCAUCAUCCCCAGCCUAGGGAGCCUGCCCUUGUUCGGUUUCCUGGUGCCCCAAAGAUGGUCUUUGGCCUGACCAGAUCAGCACUUGCCUCUUUUUCCUUUAUUGACUUUACAGUUUUGAGCACACAUUUUAAAACCUAUGAUAUUUUGUUUUCCUCUUAAAAAAAAUAUAUGUGAUACAAACCGCUGGUACUAUUCUGAAGAACUCUUUCCCAAUGUGUUUACUGGCUCCUUAAUUUGACUACUACAUUUUGAAGUUUUGUGCUUUCUACCUUCCUGGAGCUCUGGUAAACAGCUGCAUCUGUAUAGACCUAAAGCUGCAUCUGUGUAGACCAUAGAGGCUUAUUUCAAGGCUAGUGGUUUUAAUUCUGUUACACAAGGAAUCAGAAGAAUACAGAGUCCCUUCUCCCUCUGUGGCUGGCUACACUCAGCUUGCAGUGCCCGAUUUCAGAAUUCUUCUGGGUGGCCAAAACUUAGAGAACAGAGAGAAUGCCUUUGAAGAUGCAGUGUGCUCAAUGUUUAAGAGAAUCUAGUUAGUUGUCAAUCAACAGAUUAUUUAAUGAUACAUUAUCAACACUUACAUACCAGUGUCUAUGCCUUUACUGUGUGGGAAUUAAUCACCAUCUGACAGCAUCCCUAAAAGUUAGAGAAUACAAUAAAUAUUAUGACUUCCUUCCUUUACAUGGAUUAGAAAAUGGGUUCAUAGAGCCCGAAUAACCUUCCCACAGUUAGUUAGAGGGGGAAGUCUAAUGUGCCCUUGUUCAUAGCAUCAAAUUAUUUAUAUUAUGCUAUUCAGAAUGUGACUAGAGAAUAGAAGGCUGUUUUUCUGACAACUCUGCAGAAAGAUAAGCAGCUUGUGAACAAAUUGCAUCCCUAAGCACGCUAAUUGGCUCACCAGUUAAGGAAGCAGUAUAUUGAUCUGCAUUUCUGCACAUGCUGCUUAAAAAGGUGCAAAGCAGACUUUUGCAUCCAUCUGCUCAAAGUCAGGUUUUUGUCUGAACACAGGUAGUAUUAGCUUUGGGGUGUUGUCUGGAGGAUCCAAAGGGGCAGGGGAAUGUGUACAAAUUAAGCCCAAAUAAAAGUUUUCCCAAACGCCUCUCUACUUCUUCUUUCUCACCUACUUUCUCUCAGAGUCCUUUUAGAAGGGAUGGUUACAGAAAAUCUCAGAGUGAAGAAAGAAAAAUGAAUUCAAUAAGGUUAGACGUAGAAGAUUUUUAGAAUCGUCCCUGAUGCUAUUUUAAUACCACACCGCCUUGCUUACAGUAGCUUUGCAAAUCUUGAAGUCGAGAACAUCGGUCCUUCAGGGUGUUGUCCUUCAGCAUUGGUUGGCUCUCCUCUGCCUCUCCACAUAAAGUUCAGGAUCAAUGCAUUGAUAUCUGGAAUUUUGAUUGGGAUUGCAUGGAAUUUAGAGAUCAAGUUGGGGGCAAUUGUUAUCUUGACAAUACUGAGUUUUCCUGUAAAUGAACAUGAACUAUCUCUCCUCUCUACUUAUAUAGUUCUUUUAAAAUUUUAUUUGAUCCAAUACUAUUUCUGGAAGAUUCAAUAUGAAAAGAAACAUUGGUUUAAAAACUUGUCUUUAACAUAUUUUUUUUCCAUUUUCUUCAUCAGGAAAAGAAAUGAUCCCUUAUAGACCUCCCUGUCACUCUGGAAGUUAUCCAUGCUUCUUCCUUUCUUACUUUGAAAGCCAUAGGGGUAGAAAUAAAAUCACAGAUAAUAUUUUUUUAUUUAUUCAAGCAUUAAUUUAUCAAUAUUAGAAUGGAAUGAAUAAUAUUGCUAUGGUUAGGAUAAGUGUCCCCCAAAUGCCUAUGUGUUAAGAGCUUGGCUCUGAGCUUAUGGAGGUAUUGGGAGGUGGUGGGCACAUUCGCAUUUUGAGAGUUGGAGCUUUGUGGAAGGAAGUUAGGUCAUUGAGGUGUGCCCUUGAAAGAGAUAUUGGAACUGCAGCUCUUUCCUCUCUCUCUCUGUUUUCCAGCUGCCUUGAGGUAAAAGCUUCCUCCACCAUGUGCUCCCUGCCAUGAUGUACUAUCUCACCAUGAGCCCAAAGGCAACAGGGGCUGAAUGACCAUGGAGCAAAACCAUUAACAAAAAUAAAUCUUUUCUCCUUAUAAGAUGAUUAUCUCAAGCAUUUUAUUACAGUAACUAACAAAUUUAACUAACAAAUACAUAUUUUUAGACUUUGUAGAAUGUAGUGGGUAAAGACUGUUAUUCUUAUAUUCAUCCACUUCAGAUCCCAAUUUCAGAGUUUGGAAGUGCAUAGAUCAUAUGUCAUAUGUUAACUUUUGCCUGCCACCCAUAUUAUCCUAUGUGGUAUAAUUGCAGAAAUAAUUUAUACAUGCCAAUGGCUACCUUUCCAUACCUAUUGCUUAAGUAGCAUCUGGAAUGAGAAUUGCCACAUCUUUUCUGCAUUGGAGCCAAGUUUGCCCUGGGAUCCCUGUCUAAAUUUCCCCCAAUUUCUAAAUUGGCCUCAUAAGUAAAUCACUGCAGAUUCAUCAAAAGACAUUUCUUGCUUCAAGUUAUCAUUUAUUCCAUGAUUUCCCCCCAAGUUAGCAACUAGUAAAAUGCCUGCAUUGUGGGUGAGAUCAACCCAUGCUAGGAGGAACAAGCAAGUAGCUAGCAGCUGCUUCUUUCUAUGGAUGUAUAGUGUUCACUUUAGCUUCAACAUCAAUAAACCCGGGGAAUCCCUCUCAGAGAAUGACCCUAAGAUAAAAUUUUAAAUGUGAAUAGAUAUACAGAUGGUCCUCUACUUAAGAUGGUUUGAUUUACAGGUUUUCAAGUUGUGAUGAUAUGAAAGCAACAGGCAUUCAGCAGAAGCCUCAUUUUCAUCUUUUUCCAGGAGAACAAUAUGCAUUUCAUGACCUUCCCUCAAUGCCCAGUUGUGGGCUAAUGGAAAUGUUCUAGGCACAUUCAAGGGAGGGUAGGCUGGGCUAUGAAGGUCAGUAGGAUAGGUGUAUUAAAUGCAUUUUCAACUUCAAUCCUUUAAGUUUAUGACAGGUUUAUUGAGAUGUAACCCUAUCAUAAGAGAAGUAGCCCCAUUAGGAAUUGAGGAUCACCUGUAAUUAGCCUCAUGAAGCCUGAGUAAAGUUUCCAUUAACAGUAGAACCAUCUGCACUCAUAAGGAUCUAUCAUGCCCAUAUUCAGCAGCUUCUCCAGUUCUUCAUCCUCUACCACCCUCGAAGUCAGUGAUGCCCCAGGGCUGUGUUGCCUAGUACUGUAGCCAUUAACUACACGUAGUGAUUUAUGUUUUCAUUAAUUAAAAUUCACUGAAAUUUAAAGUUUAGUUCCUCUGUCACACUAGCUUCAUUGCAAGUGCUUCAUAGCUGUAAGUGCUUAGUGGCCAGCACUGGACAGUGCAGAAUUAGAAUAUAUUCCUCACUGUAGAAAUUUCUUUCAGACAGAACUGGCCUGGAUCGGUGGUUUUCAAAUGUCACUGUGCAGGGGGAUCACCAGGAACCUAGAUUAAAGUGCACAUUCUCCCAUCAAACUGAAGAGCUCUGCCCAGCCAAGGAAGCAAUCAACAAGGCAAAGGGUCAACUACUUUGGGAGAGAAUAUUUGCAAACCAUACACCUAAUUAGGGGUUGGUGUCUAGAAUAGAUAAGGAACUCUUAUUAAUUUCAUAUAGGUGGAGGAUCUCUUAUCUGAAAUGCUCCGGACAGAAGGUCUUUUUUGGAUUUCAGGUUUUGGAACAUUCGCAUGCAUAUAAGGAGAUAUCCCAGGGAAAGAACCAAGUCUAAACAUGAAAUCCAUUCAUCUUUCAUAUACACAUAGCUUACAGGGAAUUUUAUACCAAGUAUUUGAUGUGUCUGCAGUUUAAUUGUUAUACAUCACAUGAGGUCAGAUGCAGAAUUUUCCACUUUUGUUACCAUGUCAGUGCUCAGAAAGAUUUGGACUUUGGAACAUUUCAGGUUUGGAAAUUUUGGAUUAGGGAUGCUUAUGUUGUAGCGAGAAAACAAGUAACUAAAUUUAAAAUUGGGCAUAGGAUCUUUUUUAAAAAAAAUUUUCUAAUUAGUUAUACAUGACAGUAGAAUGCAUGUUGACACACUGUACACAAAUGGAGCACAAUUUCUUCUUCCUCUGGCUUAAUAUGGUGCAGAGUCAACACCUGUAGUGCAAUCAUACAUGUAUGUGGAGUAAAAUGUCCAUCUCAUUCCACCAUCCUUUCCAUCUCCAAAACCCACCUCCUCCCUCCCCUCUGCACAAUCCAGAAUUCCUUCAUUCUUCUCUACCCUCAACCCCCCAUUACGGAUUAGUGUCCACUUACCAGUGAAAGCAUAGGCCUUUGGUUUUUUGAGUUUGGCUUAUUUUGCUUAGCAUGAUAUUCUCCAGCUCCAUACAUUUACCUGAAAAUGCCAUAAUUUCAUUUUUCUUUAAUGCUGAGUAAUAUUCCAUUGUGUAUAAGCACCACAUUUUCUUUAUCCAUUCAUCUGUUGAAGGGUGUCUAGGUUGGUUCCAUAGUGUAGCUAUUGUGACUUGAGCUUCUAUAAAUACUGAUGUGGCUGUGUCACUGUAGUAUGUUGAUUUUAAAUCUUUUGGGUAUAAACCGAGGAAUGGGAUAACUGGGUCAAAUAGUGGUCCCAUUCCUAAUUUUGUGAGGAAUCUCCAUACUGCUUUCCAUAGUGAUUGCAACAAUUUGCAAUCCCACCAGCAAUGUAUAAGUGUACCUUUUCCCCCAAAUCCUCACCAACACUUAUGGUUGCUUGUAUUUCCAUUCUGACUGGAGUGAGAUGAAAUCUUAAAGUAGUUUUGAUUUGCAUUUCUCUAAUAACUGAAGAUGAUGAACAUUUUUUCAUAUGUUAAUUGAUUGUGUUUCUUCUUCUGUGAAGUGUCUGUUUAGUUUCUUAGCCAAUUUAUUGAUUGAGUUAUUUGGUUUUUUUUGGCGUUAAGUUUUUUGAAAUUUUUAUAUAUCCUAGAGAUUAAUAUUCUACCUGAAGUGUGUGGCAGUAAAGAUUUUCUCCUAUUCUGUAGGUUCUCUCUUAACUUUUUUUAUUGUUUCCUUUGCUGAAAGAAGGUUUUAGUUUGAAUCCACCCCAUUUAUUGAUUCUUGAUUUUACUUCUUGUGUUUUAGGAGUCUUGUUAAGGAAGUCAGUUCCUAAGCCAAUGUGGUGGAGAUUUGAUUUGGACCUAGGAUCUUAACAGAUAUUUCUCAAUAUGGAAAACAUGGCUCAAUAUGGCUAAGAUGCUCAAUGUGAUAUCACCAGAGAAAUUUAAUUAAAACCACAAUAAGAUCUAAAUUCACAGCCAUUAGAAUGGCUAUUACCAAAAGAUGAAAGAUAACAUGUUAGAGAAGAUGACAUAUUGUUGGUGGGAAUGUAAAUUAGUGCAGCUAUUUUGGAAAACAGUAUGGAGGUUCCUCAAAAUAUUAGAAGUGGAAUUACAAUGUGAUCCAGCAAUUAUACUACUAGGUAUUUAUUCAAAGGAAGUGAAAUCAGUAUGUCAAAGAGAUAUCUGCACUUCUGUGUUUGUGUUCAGCAUUAUUUCAAGAUACGAAAUCUACUGCAUGUGUAUCAGUGGAUGAAUUGAUGAAGAAAAAAAUGUGAUACACACGAACAUACACACAGAGUACAUUUGACCUUUAAAAAGAAAGAAAUUCUGCCAUUUCUAACAACAUGGAUGAACUAGGAGGAAGGAUAUCAUUGUCAGUUUGAUUCAGGCAAUCUACAAUGUAUAUAUAUUUCAUAACAACAUAAUGUACAUGAUAAAUACCUUAUUUUUUAGCAAUUUAAAAGUAAAAAAUAAUGGUGAAGUUAAAAAAAAGCAGAUUAUCAAAUGCUAUUCUCAGUAGGUCCUGAUUGGUGUCCAGGGAUCUGCAUUUUAAUAGACACCUAUUUCUGGUGUCUACACAGUAGAUUUUGACAAACAUUAUCCACUGGGGUUAAAAACAUUUGCUACGUUUUGGAGCAAGUUUUUAUUUUUUAAGUCUUAAUCUUUCACAGACUGAUACAAUAAAAAUAAAUCACUAGGAAAAUAAAUAUUUAAAAAUAAAACAUAAAAUACAAGCUCUAUUUUUAAAUUUGAUUUAGAAGAUAUAAAAUUUCUCUGCCAAGUUGCUGUACAAAUAUCUACUGUGUGUUCUCAGUUUCUGGAUUUGUCUGUGGACCAUACUUAGAGCAGCAACAUGCUAGGAAAAUGAAAGGACUGUGUCAAUAAAAAAAAAUGGAGUUGGGUCCAUUUGUUUUUCUAAUACAAUGGAAUAGAUGAGGGUAACUCAGAGAUUCUUAGUUGUAUCUUGUAAGCUCACGUUCCUCUAUUAAAAAGUUUUAACCUCUCUUUAGAACUCUAUGACACUAAAAUGAAAAAGGCUUAGGAAAUAGUAUCUGAGAUCAUCUGCUGAUUCUGGAGACACAAGAAGUGGAGUGCCCAAGUUUAAUUACACAAGGGCCGAGGGAAGGACCCUGGGAGAAAUAAUGAUGGUGUCUGCAGUGAAGGAGAGUCAGUUUGAUAUCCAGGGACUACAGAGAAGAAGCGUGGGAGGGAGAGGAGGGAGAGAGUGGGAGGUGACUGUCUGUCUGCUAGUGAAUCUAGGGAUGACAUCGGUCCCAUUACUGGUGAUUUCCUCAUGGCUACCAUGAGCUCAAUUGGACUUGAAUUCUCUGUGGAUGGUCAUGGCUGAUGGUGUCUCUUUUCCCUUCUCUUAAUGGGUCAGCCCACGUGCAUCUAUGGAGGAUAAAGAGUCAGACAUUUGUGAUGUUGAUGUUAU